rnacentral:rRNA from 1 species
AACGAACGCUGGCGGCAGGCCUAACACAUGCAAGUCGAGCGAGGACUUCGGUCCUAGCGGCGGACGGGUGAGUAACGCGUGGGAACGUGCCCUUUGCUACGGAAUAGCCCCGGGAAACUGGGAGUAAUACCGUAUGUGCCCGAGAGGGGAAAGAUUUAUCGGCAAAGGAUCGGCCCGCGUUGGAUUAGGUAGUUGGUGGGGUAAUGGCCUACCAAGCAGACGAUCCAGAGCUGGUUUGAGAGGAUGAUCAGCCACACUGGGUCUGAGACACGGCCCAGAAUCUUCCGGGAGGAAGCAGUGGGGAAUCUUAGACAAUGGGGGAAACCCUGAUCUGGCCAUGCCGCGUGAGCGAUGAAGGCCUUGGGGUUGUAAAGCUCUUUCAGUGGGGAAGAUAAUGACGGUACCCACAGAAGAAGCCCCGGCUCACUCCGUGCCAGCAGCCGCGGUAUAC